AGUCACUGACAUUAGAUACCCCGGUAGUCCAGGGUGUAAACGCUGCAGACUUGGUGUUGGGAACCCUUCGGGGGUGCUCAGUGCCGGAGAGAAGUUGUUAAGUCUGCUACUUGGGGAGUACGUCCGCAAGGAUGAAACUUAAAGGAAUUGGCGGGGGAGCACCGAAACGGGAGGAGCGUGCGGUUUAAUUGGAUUCAACGCCGAAAAACUCACCAGCAGCGACUGUUACAUGAAAGUCAGGUUGAUGACCUUACUAGAUUUUCAG
rnacentral:rRNA from 1 species